rnacentral:rRNA from 1 species
CGGGUGAGUAACACGUGGGCAAUCUGCCCUUCGUUGGGGGACAACCGGGGGAAACCCCGGCUAAUACCCCGUAAGCUUGCUGGACCGCAUGGUCCGGUAAGGAGAGGUAGCUUCGGCCAUCCGGCGAAGGAGGAGCCCGCGGUACAUUAGCUAGUUGGUGAGGUAAUGGCUCACCAAGGCUACGAUGUAUAGCUGGUCUGAGAGGAUGAUCAGCCACACUGGGACUGAGACACGGCCCAGACUCCUACGGGAGGCAGCAGUCGGGAAUCUUGCACAAUGGGCGAAAGCCUGAUGCAGCAACGCCGUGUGAGCGACGAAGGCCCUAGGGUCGUAAAGCUCUGUUGUUAGGGACGAAGGGCGAAGGGUUAAUAGCCCUUAGCCUGACGGUACCUUUCGAGGAAGCCCCGGCUAACUACGUGCCAGCAGCCGCGGUAAUACGUAGGGGGCGAGCGUUGUCCGGAAUUAUUGGGCGUAAAGAGCGUGUAGGCGGCUUGGUAAGUCUGCUGUGAAACCUUGGGGCUCAACCCCAAGCGUGCAGUGGAUACUGUCAAGCUAGAGGAUGGUAGAGGCCAGUGGAAUUCCCAGUGUAGCGGUGAAAUGCGCAGAUAUUGGGAGGAACACCAGUAGCGAAGGCGGCUGGCUGGGCCAUUCCUGACGCUGAGACGCGAAAGCUAGGGGAGCGAACAGGAUUAGAUACCCUGGUAGUCCUAGCCGUAAACGAUGAACACUAGGUGUGGGGGGAGUCGAAUCCCUCUGUGCCGAAGCCAACGCGUUAAGUGUUCCGCCUGGGGAGUACGGCCGCAAGGCUAAAACUCAAAAGAAUUGACGGGGGCCCGCACAAGCAGCGGAGCAUGUUCUUUAAUUCGAUGCAACGCGAAGAACCUUACCUGGACUUGACAUGGCACUGCAAGCGCACGGAAACGUGUGACCUUCGAGGGUGUGCCACAGGUGCUGCAUGGCUGUCGUCAGCUCCGGUCCGGAGAAGUUGGGUUAAGUCCCGCAACGAGGGCAACCCCUGUCGGUGGUUGCCAGCAUUAAGUUGGGGACUCCCGCCAGAAUGCCGGUGAAAAACCGGAAGAAGGUGGGAACAACUUCAGUCCUCUGGCCCCUUACGUCCAGGGCUAGAAACGGGUUAAAUGGGCUUACCAAAAGGGCACAGAACCCCAGGGGGGAGCGAAUCCUUCAAAGUACGUCUAAUUUCGGAACGGGUUUCGGUAUUCAACCCCC